GCCUGGAUGGCUCAGUCGGUUAAGCGUCUGACUUCGGCUCAGGUCAUGAUCUCACAGUCCGUGAGUUCGAGCCCCGCAUCGGGCG
rnacentral:tRNA from 1 species